AUGCUGAUUCUUUCUACUUUUCUAGUUUACAAAAUGAAGGUUUUGUUCUGUCGUGAAUUCAUGGAGUCCGGACCAAGCCCUGAGUUGUUUGCAAUAACAUUAGCAUCAUGGUUUUGGAUGAGAAUUAUGGUGAUGAAUGAGCAUAUUACAGCAUGGUUUUGGUUGGAAGAAAGCGAAGUACUCGAAUAUAGAACCGUAUCAUGA